CCCACGCUAUGUGGGGUUCGCCAAGGCGACCCUUUCUCGCCGUUCCUGUUCAACAUGGUGGUUGACGCCCUUGCGGCCAUUCUUGACAAGGCCAAAUUGGCCGGUCACAUUCACGACGUGGUCCCACACCUAGUAGGAGGGGGUGGGGUCUCCCUCCUCCAAUAUGCCGACGACACCAUAAUAAUGAUUGAGGGCUCCGCGUCCGAUAUUGCCAACCUGAAGUUUCUCCUCCUAUGCUUCCAACAGAUGUCCGGUCUUACCAUCAACUUCGAUAAGAGCGAAGUGAUGGUUCUGGGAUUCCCCCCGAUGGAGGCCCAGGGCAUUGCGGACCGGCUUAACUGUCGCCUGGGUUCUUUCCCCAUGACUUAUCUGGGGAUCCCCAUUAGUGACUCGCGCCUCACCGUAGCGGACCUCUGCCCUCCCGUGACCCGAAUGCAACACCGGGUUGAGCCCUGGAAGGGCCGAUGGCUCUCGAAGGCGGCGAGGGUAAUCCUCAUCAACUCCUCGCUGACUAGCCUCCUCUGGUUCCUCAUGAGCUUCUAUUGUCUCCAUGAGACUCUUCACCAGGAGGUGGCCAAAUAUCUGUCCAGGUUCUUCUGGGCUGGCGAGGGGGACAAGCAAAAAUACCAUAUGGUGAGUUGGCCUAACAUUUGCAAACCCAAGGACCAGGGAGGUCUGGGGAUUUUGUCUUCCCGUCGCAUGAACAUUUCUCUCAUGACCCGAUGGCUAUAG
rnacentral:rRNA from 1 species